rnacentral:rRNA from 31 species
UUUAAGACUCUCGGCAACGGAUAUCUCGGCUCUUACAUCGAUGAAGAACGUAGCGAAAUGCGAUACUUGGUGUGAAUUGCAGAAUCCCGUGAACCAUCGAGUCUUUGAACGCAAGUUGCGCCCGAGGCCUUUGGGUCGAGGGCACGCCUGCCUGGGCGUCACGC